CAUGAGGCAGCGGAAGCUCAUUCAUUAAAAUGUUUAAUGGGUUGUAUCAGUUGCAUGUAAUUGAAAUAAAACAUCAGCUUUAUUCCUGAAAUAGUUUAUACAGAUUUUGAAUACAGAUUCUUUGAUGCUGACAUGGUUUCUCAAUAACAGAGGCUUGAAAUAAAAACAGAAAAAGAAUAUUUUUAUUCAUUUCAACAUAGAAAAUAUAUACAUACUUUUCUUUGUAUUUAAAGAGCAGCCUUCUCCAAUGCAAUAAAAAGAAAAGAUGAUGUGCAUAGGAAGGCUAUAACCCCCAGCACUGAGGUGAAAUGUGUGAUAUCAUAAGGCUAUUAUUUAAUCAAGGCAACAUCUGAUAUGAUACAGUACAUAAAAUUCUGUGUGAAUUCUGAUAGGUCCUUUUCACAUUCGAAAGGAUUCCAGACAGCGAUGGGAUCCUACCGGUUUAACAACCGGUUCGCUGAGCCGCAUACGCAGUUUGGAGAAAAGUCAACUUCUGCAUUGCUGCUGGCAAGGAAAACAGCUGAGGCACGGCAAUCCACUCUUCUGCACCGAUCAGCUGGGCUUCAGAAACUGAAAUACAGAAACCAUCCUGCCUGUGUUUUUGUGAUAUGAUGGAGUGGCAUUUCUCAACCUUGGUAAUUUUAAGAGAAGGCUUCGUUAUCAGGACCCAGGACAGAGUCUGAACUGAUGCAACAACAGCAACAGCUGUAUUGCCAUUUAUGUGACAGUGAUGGUCAGAAAUGAUUCUACCAUUAGGCAGAAAUAGGUAGCUACUGCAAGCAACUGAUUUUGGUGGGAACUGAAACACCAGUGAACUUUUUAUUAUUUCAUUUCUUACUGUAGGCUCUUUCGAUUGCCGAAAGAGAAAAGACAUACCGUAAGACUUGUAUUUAUCUCAUGUACCAAAAUAACUCGACCAACCUUUAGUUCUAAUGGUGGAGCACUUAGGAGAGGGGGCAUUUGUUGCACUACUUCAGGUUGCUUAAUAUCUUGGGCUGUUGUAACAUCGUUUUCCAUUGCCGUAUCAGAUUUCCUUAACAUAUGCUAUAGUGCAUGCUCAAAUGGAGCAUGCUUGCUUAAUGCUACAUAAUGGAGCCAGGCUUCCCAUUUCUGCAGCUUUCAUUGUUCUAUUCAAAAGUUAGACACAAUCACUCUAAAUUUCAUAACGGAGAACCAGAUUCUGUUCCAUGUGUUAUUAAGUACUCAAGAAAGUCUGAAAUAUAAUGAAAUAAAUUGUAA